rnacentral:rRNA from 1 species
UACGUAGGGGCAAGCGUUAUCCGGAUUUACUGGGUGUAAAGGGAGCGCAGACGGAACUGCAAGUCUGAUGUGAAAGCCCGGGGCUCAACCGCGGGACUGCAUUGGAAGCUGUAGAUCUGGAGUGCCGGAGGGGCAAGCGGAAUUCCUGGUGUAGCGGUGAAAUGCGUAGAUAUCAGGAGGAACACCGGCGGCGAAGGCGGCUUGCUGGACGGCAACUGACGUCGAGGCUCGAAAGCGUGGGGAGCAAACAGGAUUAGAUACCCU